rnacentral:rRNA from 1 species
UACGUAGGGUGCUAGCGUUGCUCGGAAUGACUGGGCGUAAAGGGCGCGUAGGCGGAUGGUACAGUCAGAUGUGAAAUUCCCGGGCUCAACCUGGGGGCUGCAUUUGAUACGUGCUGUCUUGAGUUCGGAAGAGGGUCGUGGAAUUCCCAGUGUAGAGGUGAAAUUCGUAGACAUUGGGAAGAACACCGGUGGCGAAGGCGGCGACCUGGUCCGAGACUGACGCUGAGGCGCGAAAGCGUGGGGAGCAAACAGG